GCAACCCAUUCAGUGAUGACUUCCAACUACAGAGCCAUCUGGUCAUGCUGCUGGAAGCCACUGCAAAAAGCAAAAGAGUCUUUCACCAAACCUACACCCCAGAAAACAUCAUCGGAGAGAAAAAACAGGCUGCUUGUGAUUUACCGGAGAAACGGACAUCUCUUUUACUAAAGCAAAGAAAAUAACCUCGAAGGUCUCAACCAGAAACAGUCUUGGAAAUGGAAAGGGUGAGGAACAAUGUAUGCUUAAGAGAAAAUAAUGCAGGCUCUGUUCUAGAACGCUUCGAAUGACAAUUACCACCCCGGGCCCGACGCCUGGAAUCAAUGAGAUGUGGGCGGGCCCACAACAUCUUCCAACACCUACUUGCCAAGGGAAGACCGAUGAGAUCCAUACACCUCUUGCACAUGAUUGAUCCACACAGGCGGCAGUGGUGACGGCGGUUGCGAAUGCUGAAUUUAUUCCCACAGUCUGGACAGAAGGGAACAUCCUGAUCGCUGACCCAAGGCACGACAGACUUUUCUAUUGCUUUUAGGGAAAAACCAGAACAAGAAAACUUUGAAAUGAGCUUUGCCAGGCACGAAGAUGCUCUUAACAAAACGAGUUUGACAGAAGAGCUGAACCCACCUCUUAUUUUAGCAGCCUCAGUAUUUGUUCUGUCAAAUGCCGUAAGCUGACGAGGAGAAAAUGAACUGGGAUUAUGCAGGUUUGACACUUUUGGGGGGGGGGGGGUAAAACGAGUUAUUACGCGGGAAUCCAAACAACUGCAUUUCCAAGCCCUCGAAGUGGUACCUGUACUAAACGACUACUCAAAAAAUAAUUCCACAAAACUAAAUGAGCGGUUUGAAGCAGAUGAGUAAAACAAGGCAACCCUGGAACUUCACAAUUCUUCACAAUUAGAAUGGAAUCACCAGUCUGGAGUGUUCCCUGCAUUAUAAACUUGCCCCGGUAUAUAAACUGCUCACAGAAAUACUCUAGAAUGACGCCCCCCGCCCCCACCCGCGAUUUGUCCCAUCGUCAUUAGCACAGUAUCCAGAAGACAUAACAAACUAUGUCCAAUUGGGGGGUUUCAAUGGGACACGCAGAGGAGGAGCCUGUGAUCCUCACUCAAAGCCUAAAGGUCUUUCAGGGUCAGGAUUCUAGUUACAGUCAGACAGUGGAGGAAAGACGGUAAAAAUAUGAGUGUCGACCCUCUGGUUAAACACAAAUCAAGAGAUUCAGUGACUUCUCUGAGCUUCCACGUCCUCUCGAUCUCGGUGUGAAGCGUGGAAUAUUGAUACCGUAGCAAAAGGCAUUUAUAAACAUUUCAAAUAAAAAUUUGCAGGCCUUGACCUUGCUAACAAAUCUAUACUGGAUUUGAUAAAUCAAAACAAAAAACCCCCACAAAUUUACCUUCUCUAACCUGAUUAUUAAUUUAUUGACUUCAACAACAUAGUGGUCGAUUCUGGCAGCUCGGUGUUUUUUAAAGUCGGAAAGAUGGCUUCUCACAGCACCUGGGGGAGGGGUGUAGGAAAAGAAACAACUUAAGUCUCCCGAUUUAGCCUUACGACCUUGAAUGGUCCAAAUUUAAAGAAAUCUUUCAUCUCUUUCACUGGCUACACCCUUCCUAAGUCCAAACGUAGCUUAACUAAGGGCCCUGUCAAAUGGCGGAAAGCAAGUGGAGGGAGGAAUCCGAAGGAGGUAGAGGAUGGUGGAAGAUACCAUAGGGCAAUGGUGUGAAGGGAAUUUCAGAGAGGGGAGGUAGUGAGAGGUAGUCGGCUGUGGAGAAACCACUGUCUCUCCUUUCCCCUCCCAGACCUCCACGGGCAGGGUCUCUCGCCAGCCCUUCUGCCACUUCUCAGGAAGGGCAGCCGUUUGGGGUCUGACUGGUCAGAAAACAAUGGCUUUGCUGUGAUAAUACUGUCCCUUUGAAAAGCAGACAGGAAUUCUAGGGUUUUAGGGCACUCCUUUGACCUGAAACUCUGCCUUGAGGUCUGGGCCCUCCCCCAGCUGCCAUGACGCCUAAAACGCCGGAUCCCAACUUCUCCAAUGUUUUAAAAGGCAGAGAAAAAGCUAUAGCUGUGCUCAGCAGCGAACACCGACUUUUGCAAAUGUUCCAUCUGCCUCAGUCAGUGCUUAAUCUGUAAUGAAAGAGGAACCGGGGCCCAAGCAAUGAUGCCAUUUUCCAUUUAUAAUCAACAGCAAGGGGUGGAAGUCGUGCUGCCCACCUAGCGUCCAGUGCAGUUCCCCGUCCCCUCCCCUCUUCUCCUCCCUCCCACAGUGCCACAGGAGCCAAGCCUGCCUUCCAAGUUUUUAAGUUUGUCACCGAGAACUGUCUACCUGGAUGUGGUGAGGUACUGGAAGACUGCCCUCUCUCCAAGUACUCUUUACUGAUGCUUCUUAUUGCUAUUUUUACAGUUGAAUUUUGAUAGUCUCUUGUUCUGUGUUUUUGUCCUCUCCCACUUAGGCUGUGAGCCCGUGAGCCAGAGAACGGAUCUCAACCGGAUUGUGUAAUUAGUCCGGCGUUUAGUCCACUGCUCUGCAUGCAGUUAAAAACCAAGUAGAACCUGGAUUGAAAUCAUCUCUUGGAACACCAGUCCUGGUACAGCUUCCAACACAGCAUGGUCUAGUUUGUCAUCUCCAUUAGACUGGAAAGCUCCAAGAGUAGAGAUCGUGUCUUCUACUGCUUCUGUACAUGCCCCUCUAGAACGGUGUCCAAAUAAAGAUGCUAAUCCACAGACU